UCGUAACAAGGUCUCCGUUGGUGAACCAGCGGAGGGAUCAUUACUGAGUUGCAAAACUCCCAAACCCAAUGUGAACCUUACCUACACGUUGCUUCGGCGGACCCGCCCCGGCGCUUCGGCGACCGGACCCAGGCGACCGCCGGGGGAAAACACAAACCCUUUGUAUUACACAGUGAAUCUUCUGAGUAAAAAAAACAAAUGAAUCAAAACUUUCAACAACGGAUCUCUUGGCUCUGGCAUCGAUGAAGAACGCAGCGAAAUGCGAUAAGUAAUGUGAAUUGCAGAAUUCAGUGAAUCAUCGAAUCUUUGAACGCACAUUGCGCCCGCCGGUAUUCUGGCGGGCAUGCCUGUCCGAGCGUCAUUUCAACCCCUCGAGCCCCCGGGCCCGGUGUUGGGGAACGACCAGCAGCCCUCCGGGGCGGUCGUCCCUGAAAUACAGUGGCGGUCACGUCGCGGACCCUCUGCGUAGUAGCAACACCUCGCACUGGAGAGCGGCGCGCCCACGCCCCGAAACACUUCUUUCACAGGUUGACCUCGGAUCAGGUAGGAAUACCCGCUGAACUUAAGCAUAUCAAUAA
rnacentral:misc_RNA from 1 species